rnacentral:rRNA from 1 species
AUUGAAUACGAUUGGUGCUGAUGCUGGCUCUUAACUGAGCAUGUGCUCGUCCAUCUAUUUAUCUUCUCUUGUGCACAUUUUGUAGUCUUGAACGUACCUCUCGCAGUCAAAUGCGGUUUGGGAGCUUGGGCGCGAGCCCUUCUCCUGCUUCUUCAAGGCUAUGUUUUCAUAUACACUAUAAAGUUAUAGAAUGUCUUUUAACGAUUGCGCUCGUCGUAGUCAUUAAACCUAUACAACUUUCAGCAACGGAUCUCUUGGCUCUCGCAUCGAUGAAGAACGCAGCGAAAUGCGAUAAGUAAUGUGAAUUGCAGAAUUCAGUGAAUCAUCGAAUCUUUGAACGCACCUUGCGCUCCUUGGUAUUCCGAGGAGCAUGCCUGUUUGAGUGUCAUUAAAUUCUCAACCUCAUCAGUUUUGUUAUGAAGCUGUGUGAGGCUUGGAAGUGGGGGUUUGUGCAGGCUGCCUCAGUGCGGUCUGCUCCCCUGAAAUGUAUUAGCGAGUUCCAACUGGGCUCCGUCUAUUGGUGUGAUAAUUAUCUACGCCGUGGAUUGGGCUUAGACUUGCUUCUAACCGUCCGCAAGGACAAUCUUUUGACAAUUUGACCUCAAAUCAGGUAGGACUACCCGCUGACUAC